GCUUGAGGUUUCCUCGGCAGUUAACUGCUGAAGUUUUCCUCGGUAGUUAACUGCCGAAGUU
rnacentral:pre_miRNA from 1 species